rnacentral:tRNA from 1 species
GCCGCCGUAGCUCAGCCUGGUGGAGCGCCGGCCUUGUAAGCGGGUGUUUUGAUAGGCCCGUUGAGAUAGCCGGUGGACGCG